rnacentral:rRNA from 1 species
CAUUGAUAAUAUUCUACAACUAUUAUCCGCCCGGGUACUACGAGCAUCAGCUUAAAACCCAAAGGACUUGGCGGUGCUUUAGAUCCACCUAGAGGAGCCUGUUCUAGAACCGAUAACCCCCGUUCAACCUCACCCUUCCUUGUUUCUCCCGCCUAUAUACCACCGUCGUCAGCUUACCCUGUGAAGGCUUAACAGUAAGCAAAAUUGGCACAGCCCAAAACGUCAGGUCGAGGUGUAGCGUAUGGAAGGGGAAGAAAUGGGCUACAUUCCCUAACUCAGUGCAUACGGACGACACACUGAAACACGUAUCUGAAGGAGGAUUUAGCAGUAAGCAGAAAAUAGAGUGUUCUGCUGAAACUGGCCCUGAAGCGCGC